rnacentral:rRNA from 1 species
AACCCCCAACCUCCUGGGAGAAGCUAGAAUUCUAAUGGCGUUCCUUGAAGCAGGACGCUUGACAGUUUCAGGUGGGCAGUUUGACUGGGGCGGUCACCUCCUAAAAGGUAACGGAGGUGUGCAAAGGUUCCCUCAGGCUGGACGGAAAUCAGCCGUAAAGUGUAAAGGCAGAAGGGAGCUUGACUGCAAGACCUACAAGUCGAGCAGGGGCGAAAGCCGGCCUUAGUGAUCCGACGGUUCCGUGUGGAAGGGCCGUCGCUAAACGGAUAAAAGUUACUCUAGGGAUAACAGGCU